CCCAUGCUUUUUAUGUACCCUGACCAUCUUUUGCUCUUUUUCCUCUCUCUCUAUAUGCUUACAAUCUAUGCUUUCCUUUUUACUUUCUCUUUUUGUGCACAGUCCACCCUUGUGUAUGUCUUAUGGCAUUUGUUUGUCUGCCACCUUUUUUUUCCUUCUAAUUUCCUGUGUCCAUUCUCAUAUUUCUCUACCAUUUCUCUUCCUUUACUUUUUAUAUUUGCUCACAUCUUUCUUUUUACCAUCUUUUCCCUUGCGGCUAUCUCACGAUGGGUUAGCACUCCAUCUUUUGUAAGACAGGCCGGCAGCAAGCUGAAAUUCAAAUAAGUCCCACACUGAUUCCUCUAUUUUGUUCCAUCUUCCUGUGUGGUUUUUUUUUGCCUGUCCUCAACAGAACAGUUUAGCAGCAGAAAGUCUAGACCGUCAGGUAGAAUUGUUAGUCAGGCAAACAGCGAGGGAUAGGAUACUCAGUUUUCUUAUUUCAACGAUAGAGUAACUAGAA